GCUAACGUAGCUUAACCAAAGCAUAACACUGAAGCUGUUGAGACGAGCCCUAGAAAGCUCCGUGAGCA
rnacentral:tRNA from 1 species